GUGCUCAUUUGGCAGCACAUAUACUAAAAUCAGAAUGAUACAGAGAAGAUGAGCAGGGCCCCUGCACAAGGAUGACCUGCAAAUUCAUAAAAGACAAAUCUAUUUA